GUCUUCCUGUUUUUAUUGGAAGUCUGACCUGCCCAGUGAUUAUUUUAACGGCCGCGGUAUAUUGACCGUGCAAAGGUAGCAUAAUCAUUAGUCUUUUAAAAGGAGGCUGGAAUGAAAGGUUUGACGAGACAUUGACUGUCUCAUCCUCAAUUAUUAAAAUUUAACUUUUAAGUUAAAAGGCUUAAAUUUUAUUGGAAGACGAGAAGACCCUAUAGAGCUUUAUGGUUUUGUCUUUAUUUUCUUUAUAAUUAGUUUUAAUUGAUUGAACUGUUUUGUUGGGGUGACAAGAAAUAUAAAUUUAACUUUUUUAUUUUUAAUACAUUUAUUUAUGAUUCUUUAGAUCCAUUAUUAUUGAUUGUUAGAGUAAGUUACCUUAGGGAUAACAGCGUAAUCUUCUUUUGGAGUUCAAAUUUACAAGAAGGAUUGCGACCUCGAUGUUGGAUUAAGAUUAUAAUUGGGUGCAGUAGCUCAGCGGUAUAGGUCUGUUCGACCUUUAAAUUCUU
rnacentral:rRNA from 1 species